CCUGAACAGUAGGCGAACGCAGCAGGUGGUGGCAUGCACCUCUUAUGAAUGUUUGCGGACUGCCAUAAUACCAUAGAAGAAGUAUACGGAAGUGAACGGUGAACAAUAACAAUUUCCACGUUAGGGUUUAGUUAUUUCUACGUUUAACACAAUGGAACCCAAAAUAUGACAAAUGUCACCACAGCGCAUCAAAUAUGUACCCCAGGUAGUGUUUAGUUCGCGUUGGAGACAAGACUUGGUUGAUAUAUGUUAUCUAGGUAAGUCUAGCUAGCUAGUUGUUGACGUUAGCUAACUGUAACGGUAUGGUUUUUCCACACUCAAAUAGCCUCCAUUAUGGAGGUGCUAGCGAAUGCAGCCGUGGCAGAGAUUAGUAUUGUCGUAGACGACGACUAUGCAGUGUUUCGUUUGGAAAUUUCUCAAAGCCAGAAAGAAAACAGCAUUGCGGAGGAAACUACAGCUCCUGGAACUGAAGGUGGCACGGGAACGCACAGAGAGGACAAUGCGAGAGCGCGUAUUCGCCAGUCGUGCCAGUACUUUCAACAUCCUCGACCGAUACAGAGGAAUGGCAAGAGGUGAAUGACAUCUAACUGGAGGCCACAAUACAUGGAAUGAUGACAAACCAAUCACUGUUGAUGAGGGGAGUGAAACCUCAACCCAGCACCUUAUCGUGAUAGAGGUUAGUGUAAUAGUAUUACAGUACAUCAAAUGUUCACUUUAAAUGUUCAUCAAAUGCUAUUCACUUUAAUACUUGUACAUCCUCAUUUAUCUGCCAUAGGGGAGCUUGUGAGACAUCACUACGCAUUGUUAUCCAAUACAACUCAUGUACCCGUAAUAACCUCUCUUCUUGUGUCAGUCUGCAGAUGCAGAGGCUACAGGUCCUGGGGUCAAGCAGGAGAUGACUGAAGAGGAGGACCCACAGCACAGCGGAGACGUCCAGACUGGUGCGGCAGGAGAGCUCCCUGCAGCCACGGAGGAACCCACAACAGUCCCAGUGCAGCCCAGGACCCAACACAGUAUCAUGGAGGUCAGUGGAACACCGUCCUCAAGUCAGAGACAGACACCAAGACUAACUAACACACAGGCUCUUACUCUAAGGAUCUGACCACAGAUCAGACCCAGAGAGACUGGGGGCUGGGGAGACUAGGCUGUCAUCCAGAGCCAGAGGACAGUUCAUUCUCGUUGGGAUGGUGACCAGUGGCAGUGAUGAUGUGUCUUGUUCUUAGGCUACAGAGAUAGACCCUGGCAACAUAUCCUUUGGUUUCGAGCAGUUUUAGACUCGAGCCUGACUAGACUCCCCACAAGCAUAUUGGGACUCGUCUGAAGUCGGUACAGCCAAUCUGCCAACUUCUGUCUGUAGGGGCUGAACGUUUGGGCUACACACUAAUAUGACCCCUCAGUGGAAAGGUGGAACUCUCACGUUUUGCUCUAGGAUGCCGACAGGCCUCAAGACCAGUCUGAAGGUAUUGGACCCGUCUGUCUGAAGGUCCCCCAGUACCAGUUGAAAAAGUGAAUGGCAGUAUAUAUAGAGACUUUUUGGUGACAAAAAUAAGGGGUUAAAUACAUGUGAACAAAUAAAAAUAAUGUUUCAUAUCUCUCAGAUAUAGGACAGACACUUCAGAACUAACUUUAGAACUGUUGUACAAUGCUGUGAAUCUCUUAUUCAAUGCGUUUGUGUGGGCUAAUAGCAGUAAGGCCCAAUUUUAUUUUUUUCAUCAAACCAUUUAAUAUUUUUGGGGCUACUUAAAAUUCAAAAUCAAAUAGUUAAAUGAUCCUUCGUAUGGCCUUCUUAAAACAAUUCCAUAUAGCUUUGUAGAAUCCCUCCCUUCCUGGAUUAGACAGGGUUUAUAUUUAUGGGUUAAACUGACUGAUCGGGAGGCUUUUCUUUAGAGGAAUGGGGUGGAAACAAUCACGUCUUAGAAUAGUUUUUUUUCUAACUAUGGGCUUCCUGUAUAGAUUGGUGACGAGUGUAUAAUUUUCUUUAGUGAUCUGAAUGUCAAGGAAGCUGACACUAGAGUAAUUAAAGUCCACGGUGAAAUGAAAAUGAUAAUUUGACUUAUUAAGAAACUCAUGGAACAUCAAGUUCAUUGGGAGUCCCGUCAAAUAAUACCAAUAUCAUCUAUAUAAUGUGGAUAUAGUUUGAUCAUGGAUAGAAAGGGAUUUUACUCAGGGUUGGGAAUGUAAUCAUGCUCUAAGCCAGUGGUUCCCAAACAUUUUGGUUGGUGUACCACCAACUGAAUUUUGUUCUGCUUGGAGAACCCCUGAAGUACCACCUACCAUCUCAUGAGUCUUCUCACGUACCCCUUGUGGAUAGCCCAAGUACCCCCUGGGGUCCCAGUACCCUUGGUUGGGAACCACUGCUCUAAGCUUCCCAUAUAAAGAUUGGCAUAAUUGGGUGCCAUCGAACUCCCCAUAGUGGUUAUUUUGGUUUGUUGGAAAAAGUCACUUCUAAACAUAAAAGUUAUUUGUGAGUAACAGCUCUGCUAGGUUUCUGGUACAUGAGGAGCUAGGCCAAGACUCUAUAGGGUGGUUGUUCCAAAAAUAAGCUUGUGGCCUCUAGUCCACAUUGGUGGGGUAUUUAUAUAUAUAGACUUUCAACAUCAAAACAGGCCACCGAUAUUAGCAUUUUUCACACAUCAUGUGCAAAUCAUCCAAAAGUAUCUCAUACGAUUGUAAAGCUCAACAAAGUCACUUAUAGAUGUGAACAUGAUGUGGGAAAAAUGCUAAUAUCUGUCCCAUGACUUGAAAUGGAUUUGUGCCACAAAUGUUAAAACGUUAGCAUGUGAAACUUGCAGGUUGUGACUUGCUUGUGACUCGAAUAAUAGUGACUUUGAUCAAGUAUUGAACUCAAACAACAGUGCAAGAACCCAGGCUUGGGGAGGGGGAACCACAUCGGGCAAUAGUAAAGAGAAACGGUUCCUCUGCAUUUCUGUAACAAAGGCUUCAGCUGCCCCCAGAAGGUGGAGAUCCACCAGAGGGUCCACACAGGGGAGAAAUGCAGUUUGGCCAGUACCCACUGCGAGAAGAGGUUCUAAUAGUGGACUCAUAUUUACCCACAUGUCCACCAUUAUGGAUUUAACAACAAUGAAGCCAUUUUGUAACUACUCAAAAGGUAGUGGGGAUGGGUAAACACUCCAUGUUUAAUGUGUUUAUUAUCUGUGUGUGCAUAUCUGAAGGAGUGUAAUCUGUAUUACUUCUCUCUUCCAGGAGGAGGAGGGUCCAGAGGUGCUGCUGGUGAAGGAGGAGGGGUGUGAGGAGGAUCUGGGGAACCCUGAGGGGACCAUGGUCAUGGAGGACAACCAGACUACACCUCCUCCUGAACCCACAGAGGAACCAGCUGAGCAGCACAGGACCACACAUAGUCUCACUGAGGUGAGCCCACUAUAAACUACUGUCUGAAUGUUAUUACGUCAGGG
rnacentral:lncRNA from 1 species